rnacentral:misc_RNA from 1 species
GUGGUGUUUGGAUCGUCCCUGCCGGCUGGCUCCGUGCCCGUCCACCGAACGGUCGGCAGGAGAUCCGCGUCGGUCGUGCGGGGUGGUAUGGUUCCCCCAUAGGCUGGUUCUUGUGCUGCCUACCCCUUCAAGGGAAGCGGACCACUUGACGUAAGCCUCCAUCCGGCGCCUUCCAGUGGGCGCAGGAGGACAACAGAGCACCCCCCGCGUUCCACCGAGCCUUCUCGGUCGUGUGGCCCGCGGGGACGUGCGAUGCUCUCGGACCCAGCGAACGCCGUGGGCGAGGACUCACGUCCCAGUCCCGAAAAGAAGCUCCGAUAUAUUGCUGACGGCCGCUCCCGACCCCCGACCGCCCCGGCGGCGCGGGGCCGAGGCGCGGCGUCGCAGAGGAAUGCUACCU